rnacentral:rRNA from 1 species
UGGUGGACGGGUGAGUAAUGUCUGGGAAACUGCCUGAUGGAGGGGGAUAACUACUGGAAACGGUAGCUAAUACCGCAUAACGUCGCAAGACCAAAGAGGGGGACCUUCGGGCCUCUUGCCAUCGGAUGUGCCCAGAUGGGAUUAGCUAGUAGGUGGGGUAACGGCUCACCUAGGCGACGAUCCCUAGCUGGUCUGAGAGGAUGACCAGCCACACUGGAACUGAGACACGGUCCAG